rnacentral:rRNA from 1 species
UACGUAGGGUGCGAGCGUUUAAUCGGAAUUACUGGGCGUAAAGCGUGCGCAGGCGGUUCGUUAAGUCAGCUGUGAAAGCCCCGGGCUCAACCUGGGAACUGCGGUUGAAACUGGCGAACUAGAAUCUGGCAGAGGGGGGUGGAAUUCCACGUGUAGCAGUGAAAUGCGUAGAGAUGUGGAGGAACACCAGUGGCGAAGGCGGCUUCCUGGU